rnacentral:lncRNA from 1 species
UUGACAGUUUGGCUUCCCUGUUCUGGGUGGCAAAGCCUGUGGAGUACUCACCUACCUGCUGCAUGAAGGCAGCAUGGAGGGACUGUGGUGGAUUAUCUGCAAAGAUGGCCAAAAUUCUCUCAUCCCUGCAGGCACAUACAAGAGAAGAACUGAAGCUCAGCUCUUCACCCUACAGAAAGCCUGAAUUUUGUAAAUGUUCUGCUUAGAAUGAGGAAGAAAGAUGAAGAAUGAGGAGGAAGAAGGAAGGAACGAGAGAGAGGUAAAGCCAACAAGCAGAACAGACCUACAUUUGCAGCAUCUCCAAGUUUCUGCAACAGCAUUAUGUUGUUGUUAUGUUUUGUUUUAAUAAAAGCACAUACCAUUUUUUUUGUUACUCUUA